UCCCCGACCAGCCCCAACGUCUUCCCGCUGAGCCUCUGCAGCACCCAGCCAGAUGGGAACGUGGUCGUCGCCUGCCUGGUCCAGGGCUUCUUCCCCCAGGAGCCGCUCAGUGUGACCUGGAGUGAAAGCGGACAGAACGUGACCGCCACAAACUUCCCACCCAGUCAGGAUGCCUCCGGGGGCCUGUACACCACGAGCAGCCAGCUGACCCUGCCGGCCACACAGUGUCUAGUCGGCAAAUCCGUGACAUGCCAUGUGAAGCACUACACGAAUCCCAGCCAGGAUGUGACUGUGCCCUGCAGAGGUUCCCCACCUCCCCCACCUCCCUCAUGCUGCCAGCCCCGACUGUCACUGCAGCGACCAGCCCUCGAGGACCUGCUCUUAGGUUCAGAAGCGAACCUCACGUGCACACUGACCGGCCUGAGAGAUGCCUCAGGUGUCACCUUCACCUGGACGCCCUCAAGUGGGAAGAACGCUGUUCAAGGACCAUCUGAGCGUGACCUCUGUGGCUGCUACAGCGUGUCCAGUAUCCUGCCCGGCUGUGCCGAGCCAUGGAAACAUGGGAAGACCUUCACCUGCACUGCUGCCCAGCCCGAGUCUGAGACCCAGCUAACUGCCACCCUCUCAAAAUCCGGAAACACGUUCCGGCCCGAGGUCCACCUGCUGCCGCCGCCGUCGGAAGAGCUGGCCCUGAACGAGCUGGUGACGCUGACGUGCCUGGCGCGCGGAUUCAGCCCCGAGGAUGUGCUGGUUCGCUGGCUGCACGGGUCACAGGAGCUGCCCCGUGAGAAGUACCUGACUUGGGCAUCCCAGCAGGAGCCCAGCCAGGGCACCACCACCUUCGCUGUGACCAGCAUACUGCGCGUGGCAGCCGAGGACUGGAAGAAGGGGGACACCUUCUCCUGCAUGGUGGGCCACGAGGCCCUGCCGCUGGCCUUCACACAGAAGACCAUCGACCGCCUGGCGGGUAAACCCACCCACGUCAAUGUGUCUGUGGUCAUGGCAGAGGUAGACGGCACCUGCUACUGA